UACGGAGGGGGCUAGCGUUGUUCGGAAUUACUGGGCGUAAAGCGCGCGUAGGCGGACCUGCAAGUCGGGGGUGAAAGCCCGAGGCUCAACCUCGGAACUGCCUUCGAUACUGCGGGUCUCGAGUCCGGGAGAGGUGAGUGGAACUGCGAGUGUAGAGGUGAAAUUCGUAGAUAUUCGCAAGAACACCAGUGGCGAAGGCGGCUCACUGGCCCGGUACUGACGCUGAGGUGCGAAAGCGUGGGGAGCGAACGGG
rnacentral:rRNA from 1 species